rnacentral:rRNA from 1 species
AUUGAACGCUGGCGGCAGGCCUAACACAUGCAAGUCGGACGGUAGCACAGAGGAGCUUGCUCCUCGGGUGACGAGUGGCGGACGGGUGAGUAAUGUCUGGGGAUCUGCUCGCUAGAGGGGGAUAACCACGGGAAACGGUGGAUAAUACCGCAUAACGUUGCAAGCACAAAGAGGGGGACCUUCGGGCCUCUCACUAUCGGAUGACCCCAGAUGGGAUUAGCUAGUAGGCGGGGUAACGGCCCACCUAGGCGACGAUCCCUAGCUGGUCUGAGAGGAUGACCAGCCACGCUGGAACUGAGACACGGGCCAGACUCCAACGGGGGGCAGCAGUGGGGAAUAUUGCACAAUGGGCGCAAGCCUGAUGCAGCCAUGCCGCGUGUAUUAAGAAGGCCUUCGGGUUGUAAAGUACUUUCAGCGGGGAGGAAGGCGAUGUGGUUAAUAACCGCGUCGAUUGACGUUACCCGCAGAAGAAGCACCGGCUAACUCCGUGCCAGCCGCCGCAGUAA